CACAGUGUUCCUGUUGCCUUCUAACAGCUCCUUUUUCCCUCAUCAUUUUCCAGGCUGCAGGUGUCACUGCUCUCUCCGCCACUGAGCAAGGAAACCUGCUGCUGAAUUUCUCCAUGCUUGGGAAAAGUUUAAUGGCUACAAAGCAUUGGAUCUGCAGGGGAUAAGAAGAAUCGUUUCCCAGAGAUUUUCUGCGAAAUGAAGACAAGACAAGAAGACAGAAGUUUGAACAAGAUUUCUGCUGAGCAAACGAAGAGAAUGUGACCAGGAGCCGGCCUGACCUCGAGCACUGAAGGAGACAAUUUACAGUGACUCUGACUGGAACCCAAGUGCCUUUACUGGGUCUCCAGGAUGUAAAUAGUUCCAUGUUCUCUGGUUUUUGUGGAUAAUUCCAUGUUAUCUGUUUUUUUGGAGCCUCAGAAACAGUUCUGUUUUAUUUCUUUUCUUACUGUUCAAUGCAAAGCACCUGCAUACUUUUGUGUUUAAGUAAAGUUUUACGUUCUCUUCGUUA